UUGAGGAUUGAUGGAGAUGAUUUAAUGUUAUCUUCAAUGCUGCUGUUUGGCAUUAUCAGGGAUAGAGCUAAUUCUCUCUAUAUUAGGGUCAGGUUGGGAAUUGAAAAAAUAAUCCAGGUACACAAAAAAGAUUUCUGCUUUAGCUGCAUAAAAUGAGCAUGUUAGUGGGGAUCCUAAUUAGAUUCUUGAAAGACAUUAGUACUCAAGAGAAGGAAAUUUAAGCAACAUUUCACUCAAGUCACUAAGAAAAUUUCAUGGUGAAUCUGAACAUUUGAAAUUUCAUUUCAUUAGGUACUGAGAUCCUCCAUUUUCAAUAGGAAUCAAAGACCUGUAAUUCAAGUGAACACAAGCUCAUACACAUGUAUCCUUCACUUUACAUAAAGUUCUUGAUCAGGCUGAGGAAGUUCUCUUCUAUUUCUAGGUUGUUCUUUUAUCACAAAAGGGGGUUGGAUUUUGUUGAAUGCUUUUUUGAGUCUAUUAAGGUAGUGAGGUUAUUUUUUUAAUUUUAUUCUGUUAAUAAGCUGAAUUAUAUUGAUUGAUUUUCUCAGGUUGAACCAAUUUUGCUUUUUUUUUUUUUUUUGCUGCAAAAGUUUUAUUGUUUCCAUUUGGUACAAGGAUUGGGCAAGGCUCCAUGGUGGUUAAAAAGCUGCACAGUGGAUGCAGAGAGGGGCUUCAGGUGCAGCCCUGACCCCAGAGGGCUCCUCAAAGGUUGGGCUCCUAGUGGUGCUGGAGGGUGAAGCUUUCAAAGAUAUAUUCACCCAGCCCAACCAGGGGACCAGCCAACCUGUGGAGGUUAGUCAGGUGGUUGCCAUCUACUUGAUGAGUUUCAGCUAUUGGCUCAGCUCCCCACCUUCCCCCUGUCCUCCACUACUCCAGCAGCCUGUUGGGGUGGGGAGAUGGGGCUGAUCAGGUAGUUGUAAUCUACUUGAUGAGUAUCAGCUGCUCCUACAGAAAGCGCCUCUCUAGGAAGUCACAGGGAUGGGGGUCUGUGGGGGCCGAACCCAAGGCAUGAAGGUCCACAAGGGCCUGGCUCAGGUUCUUCUCCAGGGCUGUGGAGCUUCCUUAUUGUCCAAAGUUUUAUCCCAUUCAUCUUUGGAUGGCUUUUGCACAUCCUAGAAGAGGGCAUGGGACACUGUGCUGGUUUUCCAUCUUCAAGAGAUGCUAGGGGCCCUGCUCCUUCUUGGCCAACUCGGAAAAAGUGGCCCACGCUGUCCAGAACCACAUCCUGGCAGUGGAAAUAGAAGCCCAUAGAGAGAAUGACUAUCAAGAGUAGUGGAAACACCAGAAGUUACAUCACUACCAGCACAGAAAGCUUUCUUGGACUGUCUAGAUACUCCAUGUUUGAACUGUGGUUUGGUACUUGAGAGUUGUGAAUUUGGAUUCAAUCUGAUGAACCAGUCACCAGGAUGGGGAUAGCAUUUUUUGCUUGACUAUUUUUAUCCUACCCUAGAAGAAAUUUAUGAAGGUAUUAAUGGGCCUCCUCCACCAACUCAUCGUCAAGAGUUUCCAGAUCCUUAUUUCUUGACUGUUUCUGACAUUAUUUAAUCAUCAAGGAUGUAGUUUUAAAUGCCUGUAUGCAUUAAUAAAGGAGAUUGUGAAAGAUGUUUUUGAUGUC